rnacentral:rRNA from 1 species
GACGAACGCUGGCGGCGUGCUUAACACAUGCAAGUCGAACGAAGAGCGAUGGAAGCUUGCUUCUAUCAAUCUUAGUGGCGAACGGGUGAGUGACGCGUAAUCAACCUGCCCUUCAGAGGGGGACAACAGUUGGAAACGACUGCUAAUACCGCAUACGAUCUAAUCUCGGCAUCGAGGAUAGAUGAAAGGUGGCCUCUACAUGUAAGCUAUCACUGAAGGAGGGGAUUGCGUCUGAUUAGCUAGUUGGAGGGGUAACGGCCCACCAAGGCGAUGAUCAGUAGCCGGUCUGAGAGGAUGAACGGCCACAUUGGGACUGAGACACGGCCCAGACUCCUACGGGAGGCAGCAGUGGGGAAUCUUCCGCAAUGGACGAAAGUCUGACGGAGCAACGCCGCGUGAGUGAUGACGGCCUUCGGGUUGUAAAGCUCUGUUAAUCGGGACGAAAGGCCUUCUUGCGAAUAGUGAGAAGGAUUGACGGUACCGGAAGAGAAAGCCACGGCUAACUACGUG